GAGCAUGUGGUUUAAUUCGAUGCAACGCGAAGAACCUUACCUGGUCUUGACAUCCACAGAACUUUCCAGAGAUGGAUUGGUGCCUUCGGGAACUGUGAGACAGGUGCUGCAUGGCUGUCGUCAGCUCGUGUUGUGAAAUGUUGGGUUAAGUCCCGCAACGAGCGCAACCCUUAUCCUUUGUUGCCAGCGGUCCGGCCGGGAACUCAAAGGAGACUGCCAGUGAUAAACUGGAGGAAGGUGGGGAUGACGUCAAGUCAUCAUGGCCCUUACGACCAGGGCUACACACGUGCUACAAUGGCAUAUACAAAGAGAAGCGACCUCGCGAGAGCAAGCGGACCUCAUAAAGUAUGUCGUAGUCCGGAUUGGAGUCUGCAACUCGACUCCAUGAAGUCGGAAUCGCUAGUAAUCGUAGAUCAGAAUGCUACGGUGAAUACGUUCCCGGGCCUUGUACACACCGCCCGUCACACCAUGGGAGUGGGUUGCAAAAGAAGUAGGUAGCUUAACCUUCGGGAGGGCGCUUACCACUUUGUGAUUCAUGACUGGGGUGAAGUCGUAACAAGGUAACCGUAGGGGAACCUGCGGUUGGAUCACCUCCUUA
rnacentral:rRNA from 1 species